rnacentral:misc_RNA from 1 species
AACACUGUUAACCUGCGGUACCUGCGGAGGGAUCAUUACCGAGUGUGAACCCCCCCGUAAAAAAGAGGGGUUACCUCCCGUCCUUUGCUGGGAACCCCUUUCCAACUUGGAAGGAGGUUGUUUUCAGACCCUUCUGCUUCGGUGGGGUAACCCACCGGAACAACCUCAAAAAUAUUCUCAAUUCAAAACCGUUCAGUCCGAGAACUUUUUUGAAAAGCGAAAAAACUUUCAACAAUGGAU